rnacentral:lncRNA from 1 species
AUUAUUUUCCCCCAAAAGGUUUGAAGAUAUGUGUCCAUCUCUGCACAUCUUCAGUUUAAGGAAAUUGAAGUAAUCUUCCAAUCUGAUUACUGGAUUUCUGGGAAAUGCUAGUGAAGCAGAUGAAACCAUCUUGUGACUGGGAUUAAUCCAUAGACUACCUGUAGAACCUGCAGAACUCAUCAGUGUCUCCUCUAUUGCUUACGUUCUAGUAGAUGUAAAGGGGAUCAUUUUAUCGAUGAAAAUUGCAUCUGUCAAAAGGAGAAAAGGAAGAAUC